rnacentral:rRNA from 1 species
UAGGGAAUCUUUCGCAAUGGGCGAAAGCCUGACGGAGCAACGCCGCGUGAGUGAUGAAUGUCUUCGGAUCGUAAAACUCUGUUAUUAGGGAAGAACAAAUGUGUAAGUAACUAUGCACGUCUUGACGGUACCUAAUCAGAAAGCCACGGCUAACUUCGUGCCAGCAGCCGCGGUAAUACGUAGGUGGCAAGCGUUAUCCGGAAUUAUUGGGCGUAAAGCGCGCGUAGGCGGUUUUUUAAGUCUGAUGUGAAAGCCCACGGCUCAACCGUGGAGGGUCAUUGGAAACUGGAAAACUUGAGUGCAGAAGAGGAAAGUGGAAUUCCAUGUGUAGCGGUGAAAUGCGAAGAGAUAAGGAGGAACACCAGUGGCGAAGGCGACUUUCUGGACUAUAACUGACACUGAUGUGCGAAAGCGUGGGGAUCAAACAGG